rnacentral:rRNA from 1 species
GUGCCAGCCGCCGCGGUAAUACGUAGGUGGCAAGCGUUGUCCGGAUUUAUUGGGCGUAAAGCGAGCGCAGGCGGUUUUUAAGUCUGAUGUGAAAGCCUUCGGCUCAACCGAAGAAGUGCAUCGGAAACUGGGAAACUUGAGUGCAGAAGAGGACAGUGGAACUCCAUGUGUAGCGGUGAAAUGCGUAGAUAUAUGGAAGAACACCAGUGGCGAAGGCGGCUGUCUGGUCUGUAACUGACGCUGAGGCUCGAAAGUAUGGGUAGCAAACAGGAUUAGAUACCCUGGUAGUCCAUACCGUAAACGAUGAAUGCUAAGUGUUGGAGGGUUUCCGCCCUUCAGUGCUGCAGCUAACGCAUUAAGCAUUCCGCCUGGGGAGUACGGCCGCAAGGCUGAAACUCAAAGGAAUUGACGGGGGCCCGCACAAGCGGUGGAGCAUGUGGUUUAAUUCGAAGCUACGCGAAGAACCUUACCAGGUCUUGACAUACUAUGCAAAUCUAAGAGAUUAGACGUUCCCUUCGGGGACAUGGAUACAGGUGGUGCAUGGUUGUCGUCAGCUCGUGUCGUGAGAUGUUGGGUUAAGUCCCGCAACGAGCGCAACCCUUAUUAUCAGUUGCCAGCAUUAAGUUGGGCACUCUGGUGAGACUGCCGGUGACAAACCGGAGGANGGUGGGGAUGACGUCAAAUCAUCAUGCCCCUUAUGACCUGGGCUACACACGUGCUACAAUGGAUGGUACAACGAGUUGCGAACUCGCGAGAGUAAGCUAAUCUCUUAAAGCCAUUCUCAGUUCGGAUUGUAGGCUGCAACUCGCCUACAUGAAGUCGGAAUCGCUAGUAAUCGCGGAUCAGCAUGCCGCGGUGAAUACGUUCCCGGGCCUUGUACACACCGCCCGU